CCCUCCUCUCGCGCCCCUCCCGCGCCCCUACAUCCACCGCCCGGCCGAGGGGGCUCAGUCCGCAGCCGCCGCCGCCGCGCCUCCGUAUCGGUGCUGGCAGCGGCCGCCGCCGAGACAGCCGUGCGGGCGAGCAUCCCCAGGCAGCACAUCAGAGGUGGUUGUUAGCGGUGUCCCGCCCUCACCGAAUACAUCCCGUUCUGCACAUAUCCACUGUGAGUGACUACCAAACGGCCGCCUGCUACUUUGCUACAACUAGAGAAACGGACAACACACGUUCUGUUGGCUGCCAGGUCAGCGGGCCUUUCUCUCCGGUGUGAAAGGCAGAACGUGCUGCAUGUAUUGUGUGCGACGUUCAGAAAAGCUCUGUGUCAGAACAGAGCAGUUCUGGGAGAGGAUCUGCCCAGGGAAGGUUCAGGGGCACGGAAUGCUUCACUGGAUCGUCUCUACACAGCCCCCUCCUGAUC
ensembl:lncRNA